GGGAUAGAACACCUGCCUCAACUGCUGAUGUGAUGAAGGAGGUACUACCAACCAUCAUCAAACCUCUUGACGAAUUCUCCCAAGUAUGUCCACCUUGGAUUCUCUAUCUAUAUGAGUUGCCCAUUGACUUGGGGACUUGUGGUCUCUCUUGUGAAACCUGCAUAACUGCUUACACAGGGAAUGAGAGAGCUCUGUUCUUGAGUUGCACUUUUCAUCAAGUCGUGGAGCGUAAAUCUGGGCAAUAAACGAUCAGAAGGUACUGUA